CUUUGGGAACACCUAACCAGCGUGGGGGAAGCUUAGGAAGCAAAAAGGAAUUUAUAUACUACUAGCAGUAUUUAGCCAAUACCGAGAGAAGCUCAAUUCGUUGCUUUUUUGUUUUUUUUUUUUUUUUUUUUGGUCUCUGUUGGCUGCUCUUGAACGUGAGUAAAUGCUGUGCAGGGAGAGAGAGGAGGGAGAGAGCCACACAGCCAUCUCCGAGCCACGGCCAGGAAAUGGACUGACAGACUGCAAAUUAAACUAGUCCUAAUGUACGAAUGAAUGCGGCCCCCCCAAAUCUCUCCCAGCACCAGCCCGGCAGCAGAGCCCGGCACGGAGGGAGCGUGGCUGCGGCUGGGCUGGUCCAGGGAGGGACAAUAAAGCCAAUCCCGGGCAGGAAAAAAUCACAAGGCAUUGUGGAAGCAGGCAGCAUCCCAGAUCUGUGGAGGAGCUCAGCAGGAGGAGAACAAGUGGGGGAAAAUAUUCCUAGUGUUGUGUUGCUGCUCAGGCAGUUUGACCAGGGGCCUGUGGUGGUCCAGCUCGUUGGAAACUUUUGUGCAGAAACCAGGAGGAUGCUACAGCUGGAGCUAAUCCCUGAGAAAACAGCACCACCAGCAACAACAGUUUGCUCUAGACAAGAAAAAAGGUGGAAGAGGUGGGGCUGA
rnacentral:lncRNA from 1 species